GACGGAGAAGGCUAUGUUGGCCGGGCGACGGUUGUCCCGGUUUAAGCGUGUAGGUGUGUGUUCCAGGUAAAUCCGGUUCACUUUAACACUGAGGCGUGACGACGAGGCACUACGGUGCUGAAGCAACAAAUGCCCUGCUUCCAGGAAAAGCCUCUAAGCAUCAGGUAACACGAAAUCGUACCCCAAACCGACACAGGUGGUCAGGUAGAGAAUACCAAGGCGCUUGAGAGAACUCGGGUGAAGGAACUAGGCAAAAUGGUGCCGUAACUUCGGGAGAAGGCACGCUGACACGUAGGUGAAGUGAUUUACUCAUGGAGCUGAAGUCAGUCGAAGAUACCAGCUGGCUGCAACUGUUUAUUAAAAACACAGCACUGUGCAAACACGAAAGUGGACGUAUACGGUGUGACGCCUGCCCGGUGCCGGAAGGUUAAUUGAUGGGGUCAGCGUAAGCGAAGCUCCUGAUCGAAGCCCCGGUAAACGGCGGCCGUAACUAUAACGGUCCUAAGGUAGCGAAAUUCCUUGUCGGGUAAGUUCCGACCUGCACGAAUGGCGUAAUGAUGGCCAGGCUGUCUCCACCCGAGACUCAGUGAAAUUGAACUCGCUGUGAAGAUGCAGUGUACCCGCGGCAAGACGGAAAGACCCCGUGAACCUUUACUAUAGCUUGACACUGAACAUUGAGCCUUGAUGUGUAGGAUAGGUGGGAGGCUUUGAAGUGUGGACGCCAGUCUGCAUGGAGCCGACCUUGAAAUACCACCCUUUAAUGUUUGAUGUUCUAACGUGGACCCGUAAUCCGGGUUGCGGACAGUGUCUGGUGGGUAGUUUGACUGGGGCGGUCUCCUCCUAAAGAGUAACGGAGGAGCACGAAGGUUGGCUAAUCCUGGUCGGACAUCAGGAGGUUAGUGCAAUGGCAUAAGCCAGCUUGACUGCGAGCGUGACGGCGCGAGCAGGUGCGAAAGCAGGUCAUAGUGAUCCGGUGGUUCUGAAUGGAAGGGCCAUCGCUCAACGGAUAAAAGGUACUCCGGGGAUAACAGGCUGAUACCGCCCAAGAGUUCAUAUCGACGGCGGUGUUUGGCACCUCGAUGUCGGCUCAUCACAUCCUGGGGCUGAAGUAGGUCCCAAGGGUAUGGCUGUUCGCCAUUUAAAGUGGUACGCGAGCUGGGUUUAGAACGUCGUGAGACAGUUCGGUCCCUAUCUGCCGUGGGCGCUGGAGAACUGAGGGGGGCUGCUCCUAGUACGAGAGGACCGGAGUGGACGCAUCACUGGUGUUCGGGUUGUCAUGCCAAUGGCACUGCCCGGUAGCUAAAUGCGGAAGAGAUAAGUGCUGAAAGCAUCUAAGCACGAAACUUGCCCCGA
rnacentral:rRNA from 1 species